rnacentral:rRNA from 1 species
GACGAACGCUGGCGGCGUGCUUAACACAUGCAAGUCGAACGGUGAAGCCCUUCGGGGUGGAUCAGUGGCGAACGGGUGAGUAACACGUGAGCAACCUGCCCCUGACUCUGGGAUAACUACCGGAAACGGUGGCUAAUACCGGAUAUUACUUGCCUGGGCAUCUGGGUGGGUGGAAAGGUUUGCGGUUGGGGAUGGGCUCGCGGCCUAGCAGCUUGGUGGUGGGGCGAUGGCCUACCAAGGCGACGACGGGUAGCCGGCCUGAGAGGGCGACCGGCCACACUGGGACUGAGACACGGCCCAGACUCCUACGGGAGGCAGCAGUGGGGAAUAGUGCGCAAUGGGCGAAAGCCUGACGCAGCGACGCCGCGUGGGGGAUGAAGGCCUUCGGGUUGUAAACCUCUUUCAGCAGGGAAGAAGCGUGAGUGACGGUACCUGCAGAAGAAGCACCGGCUAACUACGUGCCAGCCGCCGCGGUAA